CCAUGGAGGGGGAGCAAGCGUGAGCUGGCACCCAACACCCCCUUCUCCACAUGGAGGGUGGUCACAUGUUCUCCACCUGUUCCCCUAGAUGGUGAGACUUCUGUUGGGCUUGCUUUUCCUGGGCCAGUGUCCAUCAGCCAGGUGCUCAGCCAUCGGUGCGCUGAAGCUCCAGCCCUUCCUGGUGCCCUGAUCUCCUGCACUGAGCUGUGAUGAGCACAUCCGGGUUCCACUGGAUGCACGUGCGGGAAGGGGGGUGCCCUGGGUUGGGUCAGUGAUGAGAACCUUAUAUUGUCCUGAAGAGAGGUGAUGACUUAAAAAUCAUGCUCAAUAGGAUUACGCUGAGGCCCAGCCUAGGGGAGAAUUUUGGAAAAGGAUGCUGGGAUCCCAAGGUCCCCAACAGGGCCACUGUAUUUUGGACCUGAGACCUGGUGGCUCUGAAGGGCAUCUGGAGGUGGCCGAACCUGUCUCUGCACUCUAGGUUCCCUGUGUGGGCUUGGUGUCGGUGCUCCAGUUCCCUGGGGGCAGGGAAUGUUGAUGGCUCCUUCCUGAGUCCCUGUUCUUGCCUUUGUCUUUCAGUGAGCUCUUUCACCUAGGAGGGCCUCUUGGCAUUGACUGGCAUAGAUGGUGACCCUGAAGAAAGACUUGAGUUGGGCCUGAAGGCCCCGGGCCAGCGUCCAUCAUCCAGGUGCUCAGCUCCCAGUGCACUGAAGCUCAGACCCUUCCUGGUUCCCUGGUCUCUUGCCCUGAGCUCUGAUGGUGAGACUUGAGGAAGACUUCCAUUGGGCCUGCUUUUCCUGAGCCAGUGUCCAUCACCCAGGUGCUCAGUCCCUGGUGCACUGAAGCUCCAGCCCUUCCUGGCGCCCUGGUCUCCUGCACUGAGCUGUGUGAGCUCUUCUGCCAAGCGGUUCCCCUGGCAUUGACCAACAUAGAUGGUGAGCCUGGAGGAAGACUUGCGUUGGGCCCAAAGGCCCUAGACCAGUGUCUGUCAGCCAGGUUCCCAACCCCCGAUGCGCUGAAGCUCAAGCCUUUCCUGGCACCCUGGUCUCCUGCACUGAGCUGUGUGAGCUCUUCUGCCCAGGCGGGCCCCCUGGAAUUGACGGGUAUAGAUGGUGACCCCGGAGGAAAAUUUGUGUUGGGCCCACUAUGCCUGGACCAAUGUCAGUCAGCUAGGCACCCAGCCCCCAGUGCGCUGAAGCUCAGGACCUUCCUAGUGCCCUCGGCUCCUGCACUGAGCUCUGAUGGUAAGCCUGGAGGAAGACUUGUGUUGGGCCCACAGGCCCCAGGCCAAUGUCUGUCAGUCAGGUGCUCAGCCUCUGGUGCGCUGAAACUCUGACCCUUCCUGGCACCCUGGUCUCCUGCACUGAGCUGUGAUUUUCCACCUAGGAGGUCCACCUGGCAUUGACUGACAUAGAUGGUGAGACUUCUGUCGGCCUCGCUUUUCCUGGGCCAGUGUCCAUCAGCCAGGUGCUCAGCCCUCAGUGCACUGAAGCUCCAGCCCUUCCUGGCGCCCUGGACUGAGCUGUGUGAGCUCUUCUGCCAAGGGGGUCCUCCUGGCAUUGACCAACAUAGGUGGUGAGCCUGGAGGAAAACUUGCAUUGGGCCCAAUGGCCCUGGACCAGUGUCUGUCAGCCAGGUUCCCAACCCCCGAUGCGCUGAAGCUCAAGCCUUUCCUGGCACCCUGGUCUCCUGCACUGAGCUGUGUGAGCUCUUCGGCCUAAGCGGUCCCCCCGGCCUUAAGCGGCAUAGAUGGUGAGCCUGGAGGAAGACUCGUGUUGGGCCCACAGGCCCCAGGCAAGUGUACGUCAGCCAGGUGCUCAGCCCAUGGUGUGCUGAAGCUCUGACCCUUCCUGACUCCGUGGUCUCCUGCACUGAGCUGUGGUGACCAUAUCCAGUGAGCUCUUCCAAACAGGUGGGCUCCCUAGCAUUGACCGACAGUGAGCUCUGCCACCCAGGACAUCCCCCUGGCAUUGACUGGCAUAGUGAGCUUUUCCACCCAGGUGGGCCCCCUGGCAUUGACCGACAUAGAUGAUGAGACUGGAGGAAGACUUCCAUUGGGCCCACUUUUCCUGGGCCAGUGUCCAUCAGCCAGGUGCUCAGCCCCUGGUGUACUGAAGCUCCAGCCUUUCCUGGUGCCCCAGUCUUCUGCACUAAGCUGUGUGAGCUCUUCCACCCAGGAGGGCCCCUUGGCAUUGACUGGCAUAGAUGGUGAGACUGGAGGAAGACUUGUGUUGGGCCUGCUGUUCCUGGGCCAGUGGCCAUCAGCCUGUUGCCUAGCCCCUGAUGCGCUGAAGCUCAGGCCCUUCCUCACGCCCUGGUCUUCUGCACUAGCUGUGUGAGCUCUUCUGCCCAGGUGGGGCCCAUGGCCUUACACGACAUAGGAGCACGCAUUUCUUGAAGUCCUGCAAAGGUGAUGGUGGUCCAGACAGGAAAGGGUUCCUUCAGCCCAACAUAGAACAGCUCCCAGCUGAAACUCAGCGGGCUGGUCAGGCCUCAAGGACUGCCCAGGCCACAUGAGGGUUUGGUGGCCGGGAGGGCCAAUGAUGCUCUGCGUCUGUGUUGGAUCAGUGUUCUUCAUGGAUUCCAUCACAUGGAUAUCCCCUACCCACCUUCCCCUUGCUCAUACGUGAGGCCCUGGUUGGACACAUGUCCUUCUCCUGUCACCCCAGAUGGUGAGCCUUGAGGAAGACUUGUAUUGGGCCCCCACAGGCCCCAGGCCAGUGUCUGUCAGCCUGGUGCUCACCCCCAGUGCGCUGAAGCUCAGACCCUCCGUGGCACCCUGGUCUCCUGCACUGAGCUGUGUGAACUUUUCCUCCCAGAUGGGCCCCCUGGCAUUGACUGGCAUAGAUGGUGAGACCGGAGGAAGACUUGCAUUGGGCCUGCUGUUCCUGGGCCAGUGGCCAUCAGCCUGUUGCCUAGCCCCUGAUGCGCUGAAGCUCGGGCCCUUCCUCGCGCCCUGGUCUCCUGCACUGAGCUGUGGUGAGCUCUUCUGCCCAGGUGGGGCCCAUGGCCUUAAGCGGCAUAGGAGCAUGCAUUUCGUGAAGCCCUGCAGAGGAGAUGGUGGUCCCAGCAGGAAAGGGUUCCUUCAGCCCAACAUAGAGCAGCUCCCAGCUGAAACUCAGCGGGCUGGUCAGGCCUCGAGGACUGCCCAGGCCACAUGAGAUGGUGAGCCAGGAGGAAGACUUGUGUUGGACCCCCACAGGCCCCAGGCCAGUGUCCAUCAGCCUGGUGCUAAUCCCCCAGUGCGCUGGAGUUUGGACCCUCCCUGGCACCCUGGUCUCCUGCACUGAGCUUGAGCUCUUCCACCCAGGCAGGCCCCCGGCAUUGACUGGCAUAGGUGGUGAGCCCGGAGGAGGACUUGCGUUCGGCCUGCUGGUCCCAGUGUGUCCGGAAUUGGUGGGUUCUUGGUCUCACUGACUUCAAGAAUGAAGCUGCGGACCCUCGCGAUGAUGAUAUGGAAGAAAAGCACUCUUUGGCCUGUUGUGACUGGGACAGUUGACAGCACCCAGGUGUCCUUUAAUGAAAAUGCUCUUGACACCAAUGCAUCCUAGCAUCACAGCUUCAGGAAGCCUUCUCAAGUGUGCAUGGGGAGUACCAUGUCUUUCAUCAAUAAUGAAAUCUUCUGAUGUCUUGUAAGACAUGCUGCCAAGAGAUGUGCCAUUCUAUUAUAAAAGAUCAGUAGCUUCCUUUACCGACGUGUAUAUUCUAUCUAGAACAUUGAGCUAGGGAAGACUCCCACCUAAGGGAAUUAGUUUUACACCUUCAGAUAAAGACUGCUGAGAAGAGCACCCUCUGGUGUUGUCACAGAGGCAAGUGCUACCGCACAGGCAUGCUGCAGUGAAUUUAACUGAUCCUCUGUCCCUGCAACCGUUGUUUAAGGAUGCUAUUCUGAAAAGACUGUGGAGGAAGAAAACCCUUUACCCUGUUGUUCAGGGAGAAACUGACACCACUCAACUGCCUGGCACUGAAAAUGUGGCAUCCAGUCCACUUAACCAUCAGUGUUUAAGGAAACCAUCUCUGAUAAGGAUGACUGAGGAAGAGUACUCUUUGGCUUGUUGACACCAGCACAGCUGACACACCCAGAUAUCUGUUUGGUCUCCUGUGAACUUUCAACCAGGAUUUAAGGAUGCCACUCUGGUUAAAAGCUGAAACAACUUCAAGGAAACUUCAGGGAAAAGAGAAGGCCUGGAAUCUGAUCCUCCACUUCAGAGAACAGGGGCUGGAAUGCAGUGGCACCAUCUCGGCUCACUGCAACCUCUGCCUCCCGGGUUCAAACGAAUUCUCCUACCUCAGCCUCCCAAGUAGCUGGGACUACAGAUGCACGCCACCACAACUGGCUAAUUUUUUUGUAUUUUUAGUAGAGAGGGGGUUUCACCACGUUGGCCAGGUUGGUCUCAAUCUCUUGACGUCGUGAUUCGCCCGCCUCAGCCUCCCAAAGUGCUGGGAUUACAGGCAUGAGCCACUGGGAUUACAGUGCCUGGCCUGUAGUGUUUAAUAUGUUAAACUGAAUUUUUCAGGUAUAUAGAUAAAAAUUAGUCAAAAAACACUGUAAUUAGAUAUGAACAUUCAUAAAGUUUGGUUUAUUGAUAGAGGUGUUCUACUGAGAAAGACAUUUUUAUAAGAUUUCUUGUGAUAAAUGUGUCCCUGAAAAUACUCAAUCUUUUAAAUUUUGCACUUAAAAACCUCCUACGCAAAAACAGUUUGGUGCAGACUACUUAAUACUUAUGCAACUUUGUAAUUAGUGUUAACAAACAUAAUUAAUAAUCAAAAUAAGAGUACUAGUGUACAGAAAGCAUCUCUAAUUUCCAAUAUACAAUAGUAACUAUAGAACAAUGCAAAAACAAAAACAAAAAAACCAGUAACGAACAGGGAACAGUUAACAGUAGCAUAUUAGAAAACAGGGAUAAGGAAAGGUCACAACUGCUAUAAUGCAGACUUGAGCAAAAAGAGGAGGGGGCAUAAAGACUGGAUAAAGCCACACAAUAAGCACCUCUAAGAUGGAGCACGUGGCCAAAAGAGCAGAUGAGCACAUUCCUCAUGUACCACAUCCCCCGCAGCUGGCUGCAUUCCACUGUGCCAGCACUCUACAUUCAGUUACUGGUACUCUCUGGUGCACACUUACUGGAGAACUGUGUACAAUAAAGUCAAUGCAGCUUCCACAUUAUACUGACACACUAUAUAUAUAGACAACAUUUACCUAUUUUCCCAUAGUGUGUGAACUAAUUCAUGAAACAGAAUUAUACACUCUGAAGCAACUAAGUUGUGUAAAGUGACGAAAAUAAUUUUAUUGUGGAAACAGAGUAGAGGUUAUAACACAAUGCCACUUCACUAAUUCUUUCAAACUUGAUUCAAAUGAUGUUAGUGAAAGUUUUAGAGGCAAAUGCCUCUAAAAUUCUCUGACUUGUAUGUCAUGAAAAAAAGCUUUCUCUCUUAAAAUACAAUUGCCUCUGGGUGUGUGUAGGGGUGAGGGUGGAGGGGCGCUAAGCCCUGGUAGUCAUUCAAAAAUUUGAUUACUUUGUUACUAAUUACCUUCACUGAGGAAAAUAACUUGGAGUUUUAGUAUUAGCGACAAGGUAAUCGAAUUCUGAAUUUUGGACAUAGGACCAUUUAGAAAACAAAAGACCUGAGUGAAGACUGUCAUUGGUAGGUCACGAUCCUUGGCAGCAUGACUGUACCAAAUGUCCGGAAGGAGAGUGAGAAGCAUAUAUCUGAAGGAAACGUAGAAUUCUCACAUAACUAUCACAAAAUUUUGUCUUGCCUUCAAAAAUGGAAAAAACCCACUGUUUCCUCUUUCUGCUUCUUUCAUCACAUCAUCCUGAGGUUCCAGAACUCAUGCCAGAUACUUAGUCCAGUUAUUCUAUAACUUAAAUAGAUGUUGUGGCCUAGUUUUGGAGAUUAACUACCACUUAAUACAUUUUUCCUAAGAAUUUUAAAAAGUUCAAAUCAAUCUAUUAACAAAUGAACUUUUGGCAUAUGAUCUGCUUCUAAUUAGCAAUGAUUAGACCUGUAAAAUGUAGUUAUUAUUCCUGUCCGUUACCACAAUAAAAAAUUGGUUCUACGAUAUCAAAAUGUCUUUAUGUCACAGAAGAAAAAACAAAUAAAAACUCAUACAUUUAAAUCUCCCACAUGGUUUUCAGGCAACAAUUCUCAAUUGAAAAUAAAACAUCUUACCUUUAAAAUCAA
rnacentral:antisense_RNA from 1 species